UAAUUAGAUUGCGGAAUGCAUAUGCAAGUAUUAACAUAUGCCUUCUCAUGGCUGCACUCUGCAUUUCUAUUUGGAAGUUUCAUCUUCAAAUUCCAUUUAAUCCCAAUGAUUUUAAUGCUGGCCCACCUGAUGACGCCCCUGAUGAAUGGUUCGGACUGUGCUUUCAUGUGCCACAUUCUACAGAUUCUAAUAAAUUCAGUUCAUGCUGAUUUCUCUGAUCUAUUCAGUUCUAUCGCAUAGAAGAUGAUGCACGCCAUUUGUUCGACGUUUGGCCUCAACGAGAUUUAGUACUAUGAAGUGUAAGUUGAAGCAGCAGUUGAAAAAGUAGGCCAAACGGUGUUGCUUCAUUGAUGAGAGGUAAGGAAGAGGGAAGACUGGGAGCGCAUGACAAGUGCUUGGUUAAAUGUAUAGAAGAAGACGAGGCUGUUUUGUCGCAUAGAAGAUGGUGCACACCAUUUGUUUGACGUUUGGCCUCAGCGAGAUUUAGCACGCUGCAGUGUUGAGUUGAAGCAGAAGUUGAAAAAGUUGGCCAAAAGGUGUGACUUCGCUGAACAGAGCUGAUGAAGAGUGAAGACUGGGGUUGCAUGACAAGUGCUUGGUCAAAUGUCUAGAAGAAGAAGAAAAGUAGAAAAAAGAAAGGGAGACUAGGCUGAUUCGCAAGUCGUUUCAUGUACCGGUCAAGUUCUUCCACAUUUGAUCGAAAUUUGAUGAAUACGGUGGCCUUGGAGAAUAUGAAGCCACAGAGGUAUUUUCCUGCUUGGAGGAUUAUAGAACCUAAGGUUUCCAUGGCCAUUUCUCUCCAGCAACGAUCAAGGAUCGAUCAGUCAACAACAAAGAGAAUUAGAGAGGAACGAGAUUUCAAGGAAAGGAAGCAAAGAGUGUUGGAGAUUAGAGAUUGAAGGAGGAAACCAACAUCAAUGGUAUGAUUUUUGGACUUUACUCAACUAGCUAGUUGACUUCAUUGGAAAUAUCUUGCUUAGUUUGAUCAUAUAAUUUAGUUCCUGAUCAGCCAAAACAAGCAAUGCAUUGGUUUUUCUUGUGAUGGUGGGUCGCUCAUCAGGUGGGUCCCACUUGUAAUGGAUGGUGUUGAGAGCUAGGUCAGUAUGAUCAUUUGGUGGGGCAUGAGUUUACGUUGAAUGUGAUUCUCUUUGACUUAUAUGUUAUGUGACCCACCUGAUGAUUGAAAAUUCCUACAGUUGGGACCAUCCAUAAGCGUCCAAAAUUGAGGAGAGCAGUGUCAUCCUAAUGGUCAGAUCUUCAAUAUCUUACAAAGGAUUACUAAUCCUCUUUUAUAGACUGAUCUACUGUCCUAAUGGUCAGAUCUUCAAUCCCUGGAGAGAAAAGCCCCUCUUAUGCUUUGAAAAUGUUAAUCCAUAUAAACCCCUGAUUUGAGCGGUUGAUAACCAAUAUUUGAAAGUAAACGAUAUUUCAAAACAGUUUUAAACGUGUAGAUUAGCAAACCCACUGUGGGGAUUACAGAGGUCUCCAACACAAACGAUCAGGACAAAGAGGGCCUCAUUUCCAUUGAUCCAGCGUUGACUAGACUAGCUUCUGAGUUUUGUGGGCGACAGAGCAUACUUGGUGAUGUUGAUCAGACGAACUGUCCAGACCAUGAGCACAUCUGCCCAAUGGCAUUCAUGGGGAGAGGAGUCGGACGCCUACUUACGAGUUGCCUUUUUCAUGGAGGUAUUCAUGUGUUUUAUCCAUGCUGUCCAUCCAUUUGCCACCUCAUUUUAGGGCAUGUGCCCAAAAACAAGGCAGAUCCGAAUCUUAGGUGGACCAAACCAUAGAAAACAGGGGUAAUUUAAUGCCCACCAUUAAAAACUUCCUAAGGCCCACUAAGGUUGCCAUCCAACCUGUUGAUUAGGUCACAAAUAUCAGCUUGAUUCAAAACUUUUGUGGCGUUCCAGAAAUUUAUAAUGGUGGAUGUUCAAUCACUCAUGCCCUAAAUGGGCCACAAAAUCAAUGGACAGUGUGAAUGUGAAUUUAGAAUUGAAUUCAUGUGGAUGUGGAUGUGGGCGUAGAUGUUGAUGAAUGUGGAGGUGAAUGUGAAUGCUGAAUUGAAGAUGUGGAUCUGCAUGAAGAUAUGAAUAUGAAAAUGGAUGUGGAUGCCACUUGAGAUACUUUACAACUCACCUGAGAGGGGUGGAUCUCACUUAAGACACUUUGGAUCUCACGUAGGGGGUGUGGAUCCCACUUGAGGGUUGUGGAUCUCACAUGGGAUUGGUGGAUCUCACUUGAGCACCAUGGAUCA